UAGCAGCAGAUCAGCUUUCCAAACAAUAACAAAUCUCGCUUGUCUGUUAGUUUGUGUUUACUGUUGCUAUGGUGAUUUAGUGUUUGCAAGGGAGUGAGAGAAGUAAGUUGUUAUUGUAUUAUCAGUAGAAAAUUAUUAGAUUUAUAUCUUUUAAUGUUCUAAAUUCGUAUUAACUGUGCAAUUUUACCAUUAAUAAGAUGCUGCAAUGAUUUAUGUAAUAUAUUUUUGAUUAAGGAUUGAGAGAAAAAGCGUCAUUUGUAUAUGAGAGUGAAAUCUGCACACGAGUGCCACCUGGAGUUUUCCUGGGUUUUCGCUUUGAUUUUGAGUGAUUUCCUUGGCUGGGUUUUUUGUGUGUGUCGAAGCAUCUGUGAUGAGUCCCUAAUUCACGUUGGACUCGAGGAGAAACUUACGGCGAGCCACCCACGGAACCGACUCUCCUGUUAGACUGUGUGUUUGUGCCACCGGACUGGUAGGAGAGUUCUUUUGAUUGUUUGGAGAAACGAGACUCGGACUCAUCGCGACCUUCCGCUUUUCCUUCUUACUUUUCCUAAAAUCCUCAACGGAAAACCUUUACUGGAACUGAGCUAAGAGAAUCAACAGUUCUCUUUCACGAAAUCCUUGGUAUUGAACUGUGAACGGCAACCGGUGGAACGAAUCAUCUGAAAGCGAAACAAAUCCUUUGGACAGCAAAACGAAUCUUUUGAGUAGCGAACGAUUCAUUUGAACAGAGUUUUGAUUCUUUGAACAGUGAGGUGAUUCAUUUUAACAGAGUAGCGAUCUUUUGAACAGGGAGGUGAUUCAUUUGAACCGUGUAUUGAUUCUUUAAACAGAGAGGUGAUUUAUUUGAGCACAUUAAUGAUUUAUUGAGUUAAAAGUGUGAAUAUUGAAUUAUAGCCUGCAUUUGAGUAGAGUUGGUAUAUUUAUUAUUGAUUUAUUUCUUUAUUUUCUUUUAUUUAUUACAUUUGAGAAUACAGAGUAUUUUUUAUCACAAAUUUAUUGCCUUCUUUACUUUGUUUGAUACAAAGGGUAACACAGUGUUGUAGCUUUCUAAGAUUUUUAUUUUCAUUUUGUACAAGUGUUUGAAAUUUCUCAACUGUCUUGAUCACAACUUUGUUUUAACUGUAUAUUGACUUCACGUUCAUCUGUGUAAAGAAAAAAAGAGAAAAUUAUUUACUUUUUAUUAUUAUAAUUUAUAACCUAUAUAAUUUAUAACCUAUAUAACCUAUAUCGAACCUAUAUAUACAUAAAUACUUAUGCUUAUUGGACAGAAAUUCACAAACUCAUAACAUAUUUCUAAUUAUAUAAACUAUAUUGAAGGAAAAAA